AGUGCUCCUGCCACGGCCCACCCCGCCCUCCUGCCGCCUGCCCAGCGAGUGCUCCUGCCAUGGCCCACCCCGCCUCCCUCCUGCCCACCACGCACUCACAUGUCCACCUCCUUCCCGUAGCCUGGGUGCUCAUCGUUCAUGGAGCACUCGAUGAUCUCAGGGGCCAGAUAACUGGGGGUGCCACAGACCUCUGCAGGGAUAGGGGCCACCAGGAUGGCUCAGCACGGGGCCCUCGGAAGAGGAAGUCGAAAGGCACAAAGGAGAUGGGACAGGAGUGGUGCUUGGGCUGGAACUCUCCUUACACGGGCCAACUUCAGGGCCAAGGGCAAGGGUGGGGUACUGGCUCACAGGGCCACCGUUGGGGCCCGUGGGUUCCUCGGUCACCUGUGGGCAUCCCGGCCUGGACUUGGCAACAGGAGCCCUGCUCAGCUCAUUCCCGGGAAGAGGACUUACCUGAAGAGACUCCUAGCCCCUUUUCAGCUGGCAGGAAAAGCCAAAGUCUGUGAGCUUGAUGUUCAUGUCAUCGUCCAGGAGGAUGUUCUCCGGCUUCAGAUCCCGAUGCACGAUGUUGAGCUUGUGUAAGCUGCAGAUCACCUCCAGCAGGGCUCUCAUGAUCUUCCUAGGGUGGGGCAGACACAUGCUACUCUUCCGCUGUGCGGGGGCAGGGAGACCAAAUCUCACACACCCGCAAGUGAGGGAGGACUCGGGACAGGCUGGGCUAGUCCGGGCUGAGCCCAGGGGAGGAGGAGGCCACUAAAGCCGGUGACACACGCUCCCAGCCCAGCCAAAGGCAGUGUGGCUCCCCCAUGACCUCAGUGCCUGUGGCAGUGGGACGUGGGGAAGGGAGUGGGGAGAGAGGCAAAUGGACCCUCACCUGGUCUCCUUCUCGCUCAGGGUGACCUUCUCAGUGAGAUAGUCAAAGAGCUCCCCUCUCUUCAUCCUGUGGGGACAGAGGGUUUGCAGCUGGAUUGGCCCCAAGACCCCCACCUCCUCUCCUUGCUCCCAGAGAGCUGUCUCCCACCCUAACACGUCCACAAGCAGAGGGAGCCAAGUCUGGGGAGAACUGGAAGAAGAGCAAAGGAGGCUGGAGAGGAGUUCAUUUGAAGGAUACUGGAAGAACUCGCUGUUCGCAGCAGCAGAACAAAGAUUUACCAGGGAACACCCGGGGCUGUGCGAGUUCCUCUGCAGGCUCUGGCUUCUGGGAGCUGAUGAAUUGCACACAGGUGCCAAGUGCAAUCGUGUGUCAAAGUCAGACAAUACUGCGCAUACUCGGUAGAGCUACAAUAUGAAAUGUUCCAACAGUACAAAAUCGAAUAGUUAACCCGAGUAUGUCCAGUCCCUACGUUAGCUGUUCUGUGUGGAGAGAUCAAGACAUCCCUGCAGUAAGGACUCGUGUGGCAGCAGAGAUUUACAUUCUGCAGUGAGAAUUCAGUGGGGAGGGGGCACCGGUGCUGAAGAGCCCCCUCCCCUGGGAACACUUCUAAUAAAAACGAUGGUAGGACUUGAA